GUGCUUAAGAAACCAGGCCCCAGAGUAGAAGGGACAUUUGAAAGAACACAAACGUUCCUUAUAGAAAAGGAAGAUGAGUUCACAUGUAUCCAUCUACGGAGAUGCAGUGUGACCACACAUGGAACUGUACAUCAGAAAAUCGGAUCCAAGUCCAGAUUUGGAUGCUGAAUUUUUCUAUGCCUGGAAGAAGCUACUUAUGCCUCUGAACUCAAUUUCUCCAUAACCAAUAAAGAAAUUUAUAUGCUAUAUCCUGAGAAUCUAAUAAUAGAUGAAAGACUUCUUGGAAAUGCCAUGCACGCAGCUGUCAUUUGGAAAUGACAGCCAGCCUAGAGAAGGUUAAUGCUCUCAUCAAAAAUGCCCAUCCUCUGCCUUGGCUAAAUGGAUCUUUGUGGUUCGCCUGGCUGCUCGUCCCUUCUCCAGGAAUGAAGAGGAUGGGACACGAGAGUGGCUGUCGUGGAGAAUUUCCCAAACACGAAGGGUGCGACUACUUGCUGGCAGUCCAUUGCGUUCCCAGUCUCGCCAACAUUUCAAAAAGAGUAGCCCACAUACCACGUGUCUCAGAACUGCCCAGGGUGUGCAUUUCAACUGUGGGUUCUGGGCCCCGUGACUCCUCCUCCAGACUGUCUGAGCCCUGGGUUCAUUAUUUCAAUGUAGUUGGAAUUGAUGUGCUUAAUAAAAGUCCCUUCUCACUCUGAAA
rnacentral:lncRNA from 1 species